GAUGAGCGCUGGCGGCGUGCCUAAUACAUGCCAGUCGAGCGAACGGACGAGAAGCUUGCUUCUCUGAUGUUAGCGGCGGACGGGUGAGUAACACGUGGAUAACCUACCUAUAAGACUGGGAUAACUUCGGGAAACCGGAGCUAAUACCGGAUAAUAUUUUGAACCGCAUGGUUCAAAAGUGAAAGACGGUCUUGCUGUCACUUAUAGAUGGAUCCGCGCUGCAUUAGCUAGUUGGUAAGGUAACGGCUUACCAAGGCAACGAUGCAUAGCCGACCUGAGAGGGUGAUCGGCCACACUGGAACUGAGACACGGUCCAGACUCCUACGGGAGGCAGCAGUAGGGAAUCUUCCGCAAUGGGCGAAAGCCUGACGGAGCAACGCCGCGUGAGUGAUGAAGGUCUUCGGAUCGUAAAACUCUGUUAUUAGGGAAGAACAUAUGUGUAAGUAACUGUGCACAUCUUGACGGUACCUAAUCAGAAAGCCACGGCUAACUACGUG
rnacentral:rRNA from 1 species